AUACGGAGGGGGCGAGCGUUGUCCGGAAUGAUUGGGCGUAAAGGGCGCGUAGGCGGCGCGGUAAGUCUGGAGUGAAAGUCCUGCUUUCAAGGUGGGAAUUGCUUUGGAUACUGCCGCGCUUGAGUGCCGGAGAGGUUAUCGGAAUUCCCGGUGUAGCGGUGAAAUGCGUAGAGAUCGGGAGGAACACCAGUGGCGAAGGCGGGUAACUGGACUGCAACUGACGCUGAGGCGCGAAAGUGUGGGGAGCAAACAGGAUUAGAUACCCUGGUAGUCCACACUGUAAACGAUGAAUGCUAGGUGUAAGAGGUAUCGACCCCUUUUGUGCCGGAGUCAACACAAUAAGCAUUCCGCCUGGGGAGUACGGCCGCAAGGUUGAAACUCAAAUGAAUUGACGGGG
rnacentral:rRNA from 1 species